rnacentral:rRNA from 1 species
UGGGGAAUUUUGGACAAUGGGCGAAAGCCUGAUCCAGCAAUGCCGCGUGUGUGAAGAAGGCCUUCGGGUUGUAAAGCACUUUUGUCCGGAAAGAAAUCCUUGGCUCUAAUACAGUCGGGGGAUGACGGUACCGGAAGAAUAAGCACCGGCUAACUACGUGCCAGCAGCCGCGGUAAUACGUAGGGUGCAAGCGUUAAUCGGAAUUACUGGGCGUAAAGCGUGCGCAGGCGGUUUGCUAAGACCGAUGUGAAAUCCCCGGGCUCAACCUGGGAACUGCAUUGGUGACUGGCAGGCUAGAGUAUGGCAGAGGGGGGUAGAAUUCCACGUGUAGCAGUGAAAUGCGUAGAGAUGUGGAGGAAUACCGAUGGCGAAGGCAGCCCCCUGGCAAGUACUGACGCUCAUGCACGAAAGCGUGGGGAGCAAACAGGAUUAGAUACCCUGGUAGUCCACGCCCUAAACGAUGUCAACUAGUUGUUGGGGAUUCAUUUCCUUAGUAACGUAGCUAACGCGUGAAGUUGACCGCCUGGGGAGUACGGUCGCAAGAUUAAAACUUAAAGGAAUUGACGGGGUCAUAGCUGUUUCCU